UCUCUCAGCCAGCAGCCCCUCUCUCUCUCUCUCAGCCACCACCAGCAGCAGCCACCGCCGUUGCCGAACUCUUCUCGUCAGCCAGAGGGUGCCUCGCAGCCGGCAUUGACGACAGAGGGUCAGCUCGAAGCUCUUGGCCGUCGAUCCUCUUCUCCUCCUCCUCGUCGCCUUUGGCCUUGUAGGCUUCUUCGUGGCCGUCUUCUCUAAAUCGUCUUCGUCUUCAUCGUCAUGGACUUGCAGAUCGAAGCGCCGUCAGUUGGAUUCCUCCAUCGCUGGUCAGUUUGCUCAAUCUCAAAGAACUCAUCGAGUAUAAAGGUCUUCAGCAGAACUUGAAGGACUUCUCGUUUCUCACCCUCAAAUAUUAGAUGCUGUUGUCAUCCCAUAUCUAGAUGAUGAGGCUGGUGUGAUUCCAAUUGCCCUUGUUGUUCGUUCACCCAACACUUCACUCACUGAACAAAAUGUUCAGAAGUUUAUUGCUAAUCAGGUUUAGAAGUGAGCAGUCAUCAGCAGUGUUCCUAAGACAGCUUCAGGAAAAAUACUCAGAAGAGACCUCAUAGCAAAAGUACGAUCCAAAAUAUAGAAAGAUAUUCUAAACAUCACUGCUCCCCCUUCCCCUUUUUGGGAUCCCGUCAUUCUUCUUCACUAUAAUCAGCAAAUUUUGCAUGCACUUAUUAUAAUGAUGUUUAUUUUGCAUGCACAGAUACAUGAAUUUUACAUUUGUUUUCUAGGGUUUAAAUAUGAUAUGGAUUGACGGCUGCGGUUGAAUCCACAUUUAGUGAUUAUUUAAUUUUUUUGUAUAUUUUUAUUGUGGUUAGAAUUUUAACUUUUAUUUUCUCUUUCAAAUAUCUACUACAUAGUACAUACCUUUGGUUAGAAUUACCUAAUUGUUUGUUUUUUUCUUGCAUUUCAAUUGUAUUGUUCACUUUGUAAUAGGGAAAUAAUUGCUAGUGUUUGUGUAGUGGGAGAUGCAUGGGUGGAGAGCACUGAGAAGGGUUAUUAAAAUGGAGCUAUUUUGCAUUUAGGAUAAAACUGGUAGUCUGCAACUCUCCAUGGGUUUGCAGCAUAUUGUGUCGAUGGACAUUGCAGCUUUAGGUUAACGUUGUGUUGCUGUACUUGUCUGAUACGAGACUGAAUCGAUUUGUGCUUGUUGCGGGUACAAAUUAAUUUUAUGAGAUUCCUGUUUAGUAGUUUAGCUUGUUGUGAAAGUUUGAUUCCUGUUUAGUAGUUUAGCUUGUUAUGAAAGUUUGAUUCCUGUUUAGUACUUUAGCUUUUUGAUACUUUUCCUUGAGUGGAAUUUCACAUUCUUGAUAUUUAAGAUACGAGUUUUGUGCAAACAUGAUAUUGGUGCAGUGGAAUUUCACAUCCUUCAGUAAGUAUUACUCAUAAUUAUCUUAAUUAUUUAUCCUUCCUGUUAUGAAUACUGAUGAUUAAACUAAUAAAUGGAAUCAGGGUUCUAAGGCUUCAAAAGGGACACAAAUUCUGCUUGCUUGGUAGAUUGUCAUCUGAGGUUGGAUGGAACUACUAUGAUACCAUCACUGUUUGAAGUUGAUUGCGUAGCUUUCAUUCUAUUUUCAAGUUUUAUAAUUGUGUGAGAGUGUCCAACAAGUUAAGAUGUCUGACAGUGACAAAAGAAAAAAAAACAAAAGAUGACCUCCAACAAAAGAUGACCUCCAACAAUAAACAUCCAAUUCUACCACUACUUCAUCUGCUACAGCGGCCAAUACACUUCCGUCAUUAAUUCCCAAUCCAAGUAUCUCUGAAAAUGCUCAAACAGUGUCAAAUCCAAGAGAGCAAGUACCUAACAAUGAAGUUGAAACCGAAGGCAAUCAAAUUGGAGUGGUUAUCUACUCACGCGUCUUCAAAUAUUGAGACAAGUCAAAGGAAGCUAAAACUGGACUUUGCAAGAGAAGGGUACGUUUAUAUAGAAUAAAUGUACAUAACAAUUAAACUACUUAUUAAUAGAAUAAGAAAAUAGAUAUUUAUUCAGGUAUAAAUAAUAAAGAAUAUAAUGAUUGAAUAAGAAAGUAAUUACUAUUUUUAAAAAAUAAUCAAAUUUUGAAAAUCUUUAUUAAUUUGUUUUGAAUGGGUUUGAUUAGUUAUUAUUAUAUCCCAAUCUCAAUGAUAUAUAUUUCUGAUUAGUUAUUAGUAGUUUUUAUGAGUAUUAUAGCAUUUUUUAAUAAUUUCUGAUUAGUUAUUAAUUUGUAAUAUGUCAUUGUUCAUUAAUUUAUUGAUGUUCACUAUAAGAAGAUUUCACUCCUUUGGUGCUUGAUCUGUUGUCAUCAACAGAUUCUAUUUUGUAUUUUGUGGGGAUAAAUUUACUUUCUUAACAAAUUUUUUGGAUUUAGGAUAAAUUUAUUCUGUUUUUACUAUUAGAACAGGGUCUUAUCAUUCUAAGUUUACUUCCUUAACACCAUAUAAGACUACAAUAAUUUUAUUUUUUGAAGUUAAUCUUUUAUAUUGUAUUCCGAUUGAUAUUAAGUAAUAUCUACAUAUAUUUACCUUCCCCUACCGCGGCUCAUGCAAUUUCGGACAUUAUUAAAGGGCAUUACUCUCAGCUGUGGCCUUCGUGGAAAAAAAAUACCAAAUGCUACUAGGAAAUUUUGGUGGGAAAAGUUCGAAGUAGGUUUUAGAGAAACAUUUAAUCUUUGGUAGAUUAAGAAUUAGUUCUAAAUUUGAAAAAUAUAAUAUAUAUCAACUUAUAACUAUUCUUACUUGUGUUGAUUAUCCUGAAGUAAACAUCAGUUUUUUCCUCCAAAUCUUCAUUGGGUUCGAAAAAAUUGAGAAGCGAGGUGCGACUUUACUAAAAAAUUUGUUGGGAAAAGUUCGUGCAAGUCGUGUCAAACCUCAAUGGAUAUGAGAUGUUGUGUAGUAUGCUCUCUGUGCUUAUUGGAAUAUUGAACGCUGGGUUUCUACAAAAGAGUACGCAAGGCAAGUUAAAUCGAGCAUCUGAUUGCAGCGGAUUUGGAGUGACUCUUCAUACUGUUGGCUUAAUUUUCGUUACCCAAUACAAAGCUAAUAUGGUGAUGUUAUAGAAAAAUUUAGAUCUUUUAUGUUAUAAGUUUAUACACUUUAAUUGGUAGCUGAUAUUCAUAGAUUUUUUAAUUUAUAUGUUUGGUAUAAAAAGUCAUUAAAGAAGAUUCCAACACCGUUAUAAUCAUUUGCGAAGACCUACAAACACAAGGAUGAGACAUGGUGGAUAAGAAAUCAAAACAUGUUGAAGUGAAUCUAUCUUAAUCAAAAUAUAUAUUUCUCUCUCUAUGUAUUAUUUUAAUAUUGCAUUAGGACUAAUGUUUCAGCUCAUAGGAUUAGUGUUGAGGCCUUGCAAGUUGUAAUUAAACUAACAUGAUAUUUUCAUUCCCUCUUAUAUUUAUAGUUUAAUUACAACUUGCAAGGCCUCUUUCUAUUGGAUGUUACAACCCUAUGAGCUGAAACACUAGUCCUAAUGCAAUAUUAAAAUAAUACAUACAGAUGGAGAGAUAUAAAUUUUGAUUAAGAUAGACUCACUUCAACAUGUUUUGAUUUCUUAUUCAUCCAUGUCUCAUCCUUUUGUUUGUGGGUUUUCGCAAAUAAUUCUAACCGUGUUGGAGUGCUCUUUAAUGAUUUUUUCUACCAAACAUAUAAAUUAAAAAACCUAUGAGUAUCAACUACUAAUUGAAGUGUAUAAAAUUAUAACAUAAAAGAUCUAAGUUUUUCUAUAACAUCACCAUAUUAGCUUUGUGUUGGAUAACGGAAAUUGAGCCAGCAAUACGAAGAGCCGCUCCAAAUCCGCUACAAUCAGAUGCUCGAUUUAACUUGCCUUGCGCGCUCUUUUGUAGAAACCUAGCGUCAGUAUUCCAAUAAACACAGAGAGCAUCCCACACAACAUUUCCUAUCCAUUGAGGUUUGACACGACUUACACGAGCUUUUCCCAACAAAUUUUUUAGUAAAGCCGCACUUAGCUUCUCAAAAUUUUUUCGAGCCCAAUGAAGAUCGGGAGAAAAAACUGAUGUUUGCUCUGGAUAAUCAACACAAGUAAGAAUAGUUAUAAGUUGAUAUGUAUUAUAUUUUUCAAAUUUAGAACUAAUUUUUAAUCUACCAAAGAUUAAAUGUUUCUUUAAAACCUACUUCAAUUUUUUUCCACCAAAAUUUCCUAGUAGCAUCUGGUAUUUCUUUAUGAAGGCCACGGCUGAGAGUAAUGCCCUUUAAUAAUGUCCGAAAUUGCAUGAGCCGCGGUAGGUGAAGGUAAAAAUCUGUAGAUAUUACUUAAUAUCAAUCGGAAUACAAUAUAAGAGGUUAACU